GCACUCUUAGCUCAGUUGGUAGAGCAAAUGACUCUUAAUCAUUAGGUCGAGGGUUCGAGUCCCUCAGAGUGCACUA
rnacentral:tRNA from 1 species